rnacentral:rRNA from 1 species
CCUACGGUAGGCAGCAGUAGGGAAUAUUGCUCAAUGGACGCAACUCUGAAGCAGCAACGCCGCGUGCAGGAUGAAGGUUUUCGGAUUUUUCACUCCUUUUUUUAGAGAAGAUAAUGACGAUAUCUAACUCAUAAUCACCGGCUAACUCCGUGCCGGCAGCGGCAGUACUACGGAGGGUGCAACCGUUACUCGGAAUCUCUGGGCGUAAAGAGCGCGUAGGCGGUAUAGCAAGUCAGAUGUGAAAUCCUAUGGCUUAACCAUAGAACUGAAUUUGAAACUGUUAUUCUAGAGUAUAGUAGAGGUAGGUGGAAUGCUUGGUGUAGCGGUAAAAUGCGUAGAGAUCAAGAGGAAUACCGAUUGCGAAGGCGACCUGCUAGAACAUAACUGACGCUGAUGCGCGAAAGCGUGGGGAGCAAACAGGAUUAGAUACCCGUGUAGUC